rnacentral:rRNA from 1 species
UACGGAGGCCUCGAGCGUUGUUCGGAAUCACUGGGCUUAAAGCGCGUGUAGGCGGAACGGUAAGUACUGAGUGAAAGCCCCGGCUUCAAUCCGGGAACUGCUUGGUAUACUGUCGUUCUUGAGGCAGGUAGGGGUCACUGGAACCUUAGGUGGAGCGGUGAAAUGCGUAGAUAUCGGAAGGAACAUCAGUGGCGAAAGCGACUUCCUGGACCAGUACCGACGUUCAGGCACGAAAGCGUGGGGAGCAAACAGG